CACCCAAUUUUUUUUUUUGAAACGGUUAAAAAACACAAAUAUUUAUUUUUAUUAUUUUAUUUUUGAAAUACCGUCCAACCAUCGCACCCAAGAAUACCCUUCCCCUUCCCCCGAAUUUUUUUUUUUUUGCAUUUUUUUCGCAUUUUUGGAAAAUAAUGUAAUAAAUGUCCACACCCCCACACUAUACACCCCUAUUCACUCCACCUCUCCCUCCUUUGUGAUUUAAAUUGAGAGUCCCUUCACCUUUAAAAAGAAAAAAGAUGAGCGGUCUGCACCCGCAAGGCGGUGCUCUUGAUUGCAUUUUGUUAUGAUGGCAUAACAUUUAAGUUUUUGUUCAUAAAUAAGAAAUUAUUGGAAAUGCAAUUGAUUCACUUUGGAGCUGAAUUGUUUGAAUCUUGUUACUCUGGAAAACAUUUACAGUUUUGGUUUGUAAAUAAAAAAUCAUUCGAUAUGCAAGCGAUUCACUUUGAGUUGACAAUUUUGCAAUUUUGUUACGCUGGCAUAACAUUUUAAGUUUGGCCUGUAAAUAAGAAUUGAUUCGAAAUGCAAGUGAUUCACUUUGGAGCUGAAAUGUUUGUAAUUUUGUUACGCUGGCAGAACAUUUUAAGUUUUGGUUGGUGAACAAGAAAUGAUUCCAAAUGCAAUUGAUUCACAUUGGAGUCUAAGUGUUUGGAAUUUUGUUACGCUGGCAUAUCAUUUUUCAAGUUUUUGUCAGUAAAUAAGAAAUCAUUUGAAACGCAAGCAUUUCACUUUGGAGUUGAAAUGUUAUGAACUUUGUUACGCUUCCAUUACAUUUUAAGUUUUGGUCAUUAAAUAAAAAAUCAUUUGAAAAGCAAGCAUUUCACUUUGGAGUUGAAAAUUUUGGAAUUUUGUUACGCUGGCAUAUUUUGAGUUUUGGUCUGUAAAUAAGAAAUGAUUCGAAACUUUGGAAUUUGUUACACUGGCAUAACAUUUUAAGUUAGGCCUUUAAAUAAGAAAUGAUUCUAAAUGCAAGCAAUUCAAUUUGAGUUGAAAUGUUUGAAGUUUUGUUAUGCUGGCAUAACAUUUUUAAGUUUUGGUCUGUAAAUAAGAAAUCAUUACAUAUGCAAGCAAUGCACUUUGAGGUUGAAAUGUUCGGAAUUUUGUAACGCUGGCAUAACAUUUUUAGUUUUGGUCUGUAAAUAAGAAUUCAUUCGAUAUGCGAGGAAUUCACUUUGGAGUUGAAAUGCGAUGAAUUUUGUUACGCCUGCAUAACAUUUUUUUUGAGUUUUGGUUGGUAAAUAAGAAAUGAUUCACUUUGUAGCUAAAUUGUUUGUAUAACAUAUUAACAGUUUGGGUUGGUAAAUAAGAAAUUAUUCGAAAUGCAAUUGAUUCAUUUUGGAGUCAAAGUGUUUGGAAUUUUUUGUUGCUGGCAUAACAUUGCACUUUUGGUCUGUAAAUGAGAAAUGAUUCGAAAUGCAACUGAAUCACUUUGGAAUAAAAGUAUUUGGAAUUUUGUUACGCUGGCAUAACAUUAACAGUUUAGUUCUGUAAAUAAGUUAUCAUUCGGUAUGCAAGCGAUUCACUUUUAAGUUGAAAUGUUAUGAAUUUUGUUAAGCUGGCGUAACUUUUUUUUUUCAUCUUCAAUAAAUAAGCAUAUCGAAAUUAUCACAAAAACUGGAUUUUUUUAGUAGAAAAACCCUGUAAAACACCCCUAUAAAUUGGGAUUCAUGGAUAUUCCCUUUUUAAAAUAGACACAGUUAUUUGUUCUAAUUUCUACAAUUUAUUGGUUUUGAUAUUGCCGUAUUCUUAUGCAAUAUGCAUAAAAAAUAUGCCUAAAUAUUCAUAGACAGCAAGCUGAUAAACACGCAUUUUGUAAUAUACAUAUAUUUUGCCAAACAAGUUUUAUAAAAUUGCUUGCAUGGACGCACUGCUUCUUUCUAUUUCUAUGCAUUUCCAGCUUCUGGAGGGAAUUUGAAACACAGCGCGGACCUAAUUUUUAUUCCAGUUUUAUCUUGUACUUUGUUAUGUUUUGCAUGGAAGCUUUCUAAUCAGGCAAUUUUUAUCUCUACCCUCACAAAAACUAGUUAAACAUUUGUAAGGAUUGCUAAAAAUAUUUCUAGGCAGGCAUAUUUGUUUUCACUUGUAUACCCUGUAAUCCAGUCUGGACCAAGUUGAAGGUUUAGCAUGCCUACUAAAUAAUCGCUUUAAACCACUAAGGCUUUCUAAGGCUUUCUUAAAUAGUAUUUAAGUUAUGUUUAUCAUCAAAUUUUUAUGUUCCCCACUAUAGUAGUGGGGGACAUAUUGUUUUUGCCCUGUCUGUUGGUUGGUUGGUUGGUUCCCGGGUGUACUUUGUCCAGGGUUUUCCAUGGAAAUCCAUGGAAAAUAUGAGGCUGGAGUAUUCGGACCAAGUUUCCAGCCUUUCCCAGCGUCAAUAUUUAAAAAAAAGGGUGGAAAAUUGUCCAUGGUAUGUGGAAAUAGCCUGGAAUAGUUUCCAUGGUUUUCCAGGCUCCCUGGAAUAAUUACCAUGGAACAAUUUCCAGGGUUUUCCAGCCAGCAUGGAAUAAAUACCGUCCGAAUACUCCAUGUAAUCUGGAAAACCAUGGAAAACCAUGGAUUUAUUUCCAGGGUUUUCCAGAUUACAUGGAGUAUUUGGACGGUAUUUUUUGCAUGCUGGCUGGAAAACCCUGGAAAAUGUUUCAGGGUUUUUCCAUGUUUAAUAUUCCAUGGAUGCCUGGUAUAACAUGGAAAAUUGUCCAGCGUUUACUAUGGUCACUGAAAAGAAAAAGAAAUUUCUGGUCUAAAAACAAUAUUUAUGUAUUAAAUGAAUACAAUACUCACAGCUUAAGAAAAUCAUAAUUUAAGGUUAGAUUUAAACAAAACAAAAAAUCAACAUAAUGCCUAAGUUUCUUCGAUGUAUUAUUUUGUUCACAAUUCAUCAAAAUAUAACAUCAGAUUACAAAUUGUGUUACAUUUAUUUAACAAAUUAUUCAGAUCAAACAAGCGUUGUUUAAUACAUGCUUACAAAGCCUCUAGGUCCAUUAUCAUAAAUCAGGCCCUUACAUAACAGAACAGGCGCUACUUUAAAAGUUAAAAAGUAUAAUGCAACCUUCACAACAUGUAUUCAAAGUAACAAAAUACAAGCAUUAGUCAAGUAAUAUACAGUAACAAUUCACGAACCCUGUACAAACGAUAUACAAGAAACAAAAUGAAAAAUUUAUGUUGUUUUAGCUGCUUCAUGUAUGUCACAAUAUAUGUAGCUGCCCAUGAGCACAAGGAUACUAUUUUUAUGUCCCCAACUAUAGUAGUGGGGAACAUAUUGUUUUUGUCCUGUCUGUUGGUUGGUCUGUUGGUUGGUUGGUCUGUUGGUUGGUUGGUUGGUUUGCGCCAACUUUAACAUUUUGAAAUAACUUUUGCUAUAUUGAAUAUAGCAACUUGAUAUUUGGCAUGCAUGUGUAUCUCAUGGAACUGCACAUUUUGAGUGGUGAAAGGUAAAGGUCAAGGUCAUUCUUCAAGGUCAGAGGUCAAAUAUAUGUGGCCAAAAUCGCCCAUUUUAUGAAUUCUUUUGCAAUAUUGAAGAUAGCAACUUCAUAUUUGGCAUGCAUGUGUAUCUCAUGGAGCUGCACAUUUUGAGUGGUGAAAGGUCAAGGUCAAGGUCAUCCUUCAAGGUCAGAGGUCAAAUAUAUGUGGCCCAAAUCGCUUAUUUUAUGAAUACUUUUGCAAUAUGGAAGAUAGCAACUUGAUAUUUGGCAUGCAUGUGUAACUUAUGGAGCUGCAUAUUUUGAGUGGUGAAAGGUGAAGGUCAAGGUCAUCCUUCAAGGUCAGAGAUCAAAUAUAUGUGGCCCAAAUCGCUUAUUUUAUGAAUACUUUUGCAAUAUGGAAGAUAGCAACUUGAUAUUUGGCAUGCAUGUGUAUCUCAUGGAGCUGCACAUUUUGAGAGGUGACAGGUCAAGGUCAAUGUCAUCCUUCAAGGUCAGAGGUCAAAUAUAUGUGGCCCAAAUCGCUUAUUUUAUGAAUACUUUUGCAAUAUUGAAGAUAGCAACUUGAUAUUUGGCAUGCAUGUGUAUCUCAUGGAGCUGCACAUUUUGAGUGGUGAAAGGUCAAGGUCAAGGUCAUUCUUUAAGGUCAAGUAUAUGGGUAAAAAUUGCGCAUGUAAUGUCACUUCUGCAAUAUUGAAGCUAGCAAUUUUAUAUUUGGCAUGCAUGUGUAUCUCAUGGAGCUGCACAUUUUGAGUGGUGAAGGGUCAAGCUCAAGGUCAUCCUACAAGGUCAAACAGCAUAUAGGGGGACAUUGUGUUUCUCAAACACAUCUUGUUAGUAAUGCGUUUAAGUAUUUUAGGAUAGAAAUGUAAUGUUUUAAAAUAAUUUCUGAACAUUUUGUUUUCAAAUAAUUUUUGAACACGUUUGUUAAAAAUAUUCCAAAACGUUUUGAUAUCUUAUGUUUCCGUUUUCCUAAAUAAUUAUGUAAAUUGGUUGGUUUGAGCAUAAAAUACACGUAUUUUUCGAACGUAAACAAGGCUUUAACUUAAAACAGCAUUAAGUCUAAGUACCUGGAAGCUUAUCUUUUUGUCGUCGGAUAAUUUAAGUUCAAUUCAUAUAAAGAAAUUAGUCUAUAACAAUGAUUUAGUUAACAUAAACGUUCAUACCGCAAAAGCACAUCACCAACUGUUGUUAAAACUGUUGUUAACUUAAAAAUCCAACUGCUUUGUUGAAAUAGUUUAUUAAUGUUUCGUCAUAUUUAUACUGAAAUAACUUGGCAUAAAAAUAAAUCCUUAUCUUAAACAAAUGCUUUCUUUUAAAAUCACAUGUGCAAACACAUAUGUUGAGAAAAUGGCAUUGUCAACAAUCUAGUUCAUAAUUAGAUCUGAUAAUUAAUAUUUAGACAGCUAGCUUAACUAUACUGUAUUUUCAUAAAAAUUUCCAGAAUAAGGUUGCAUUUACCUAAAUGUGCAAUGUUAUGUUUAGUUUUAUUCAUUCGGACUUGCUGAAAGAAAAAAAGUAUCAAUAAAAAGUUUUGUGUUUUCAUUUAAUUAUAAUAAGGACUUGUUGCAGCAAGAUGAUCGAAGUUUUAGCUUUUGAUAAUUUCUUUUAUGCAUUUAUUUUGUUAACCAGGUUUUCCGAAGGAAACAACUGGUUAUUAGAUUGGCGAUGUCGGCGGGCGGGCAGGCUGGUGGGCGGAACAAGCUUGUCCGGGCCAUAACUUUGUCGUUCAUUGUCAGAUUUUAAAACCAUUUGGAACAUGUGUUCACCAUCAUAAGACGGUGUGUCGCGCGAAAGAAUUACGUUGAUAUCUCCAAGGUCAAGGUCACAAUUUGAGUUUGAAGGUCAAAAUGGCCAUAAAUGAGCUUAUCCGGGCCAUUACUUUGUCGUUCAUUGUCGGAUUUAAAAAUCGUUUGGCACAUUUGUUCACCAUCAUUAGACUGUGUGUCGCACGAAAGAAUUACGUCGAUAUCUCCAAGGUCAAGGUCACAGUUUGAGUUUGAAGGUCAAAAAUGGCCAUAAAUGAGCUUGUCCGGGCCAUCACUUUGUGAUUCAUUGUGAGAUUUAUAAAACAUUUGGCACAUUUCUUCACCAUCAUUAGACGGUGUGUAGCGCGAAAGAAUAACGUCGAUAUCUCCAAGAUCAAGGUCACAAUUUGAGUUUGAAGGUCAAAAAUGGCCAUAAAUGAGCUUGUCUGGGCCAUUACUAUGUCAUUCGUUGUGAGAUUUUAAAAUCAUUUUGCACAUUUGUUCACCAUUAUCGGACGGUGUGUCAUGCGAAAAAAUAACGUCAAUAGACGAGUUAACGCGUGACGUCACACGCACCUGCAAAGUUUAGACUCCGCCCACUGGUUGGCAAAAGAGCAUUUAUAUCCCGGUGUAUAAUUGCACCUUUGUUAUCACAAACCGAUUAUCUCGUUAUGAUCGGAUACUGUCCAGACAAUUACAAAGAAAACAUGGUGUCAUAAACCCAGGGACCUACACUUGGACCCCUGCAUAAACCACAUGUUGCAGACGAGUGUCUGGUCAGUAAACAUAAGUCACGAUACCUCUAUGUCAUCUCUUGGCAUAUUGAGCAAUCAUUUAAUAUAAAGAAGUGAAACUCCAGCUGCUGGAGCAGUAUUGAAUUUUCAUUAAAAACAAUUCUUAAAAAAUAAUAAAAACACAAUACCGCCACCAGCCUCUGAAGGCUGAAAAUAUAACAACAUCGGGGAUACACGCUAUUGCAUCCACGCAGCACACAUCAAACUGUUGAAAGCCACAUUUUAAAGCUAAAAAUACUGAUAAGUUAAUUUUUUAUGAAAUAUUUUAACAUUCUAACAAAAAUGAAGACAUUUGUCGGAAAUGUAUUAACUGGAACGAGUGUAUAUAUUUAUUAGCCAGUUAAACUUAAUAAUACAUUGUUUAAUAACUAUACAUUUUAAUAUUGUGCAAUUUUACUGCUAUGCAAUUAAGGUAUUUAACGGGUACCGGCAAAAGUUAACUCCGCUAUUAUGUGUAAAGAUUGUACAUUACUGCAGGGUCCGAAACACGAUCAUGAACAUAAGCAGUCACAAAAGGGGCCGUUAGAUAAAUUAAAUAUAUGCAUUUAUCAUAAAAUGCUAUAUUUUUAUCACUCCUUAUUACUAAUAGAGAUUUCUAUAUACAUGCAAAGACAGUUACAUUUGCGUAAUUAAUAUGCAGGGUUUUUCCGUUUGUAUGGUAAAUUGAAUUUAUAUUCAUUCGAUGUAAACGAAACGUAAAUUCAUUCAAUGUAAAAGAAAAUUACCCCAAUAUUUAAAAAAAGUACUGUAUUCCGCUUUUUAGGGCUUUUUUUUAAUUGAUUAAAUGCACCUCUGACUCUAUUGAUCGCUGAUGAAAUAAAACACUAUCCACACCACUUAAAAUUAUAAUACAAUUAAAAUAUGUUUUAUUAGUGUUUAAAUAUAAUUUAUUCAAGUCUUAUUAUCAGAAAGAAUACGGCUAAUUUAUUGUUUUGUUUUGUGGAAUUGUCAGUAUUAAGUUUUCCGAUCACGUUUACUCUAUCCUAAUAACUACUUCGUAUUUUUAUGAAGAGGAAAUUUUAUUUGUGAAUAUACAUUUAUUUGGUACUAAAUAUGCUAUAUUUGCACUUUUUUUUAAAGAGUUUUAAUGUUUAUUUCGUUUUUAUUAUCAAUUUAUUGACUAAACAAAAGCCCUUUAUACAUAUUUUACGUUACUGUAACCAGUGUUUUUGCCAACCAGUCAGUGCGCAUGCGCGGAAAAUCCCGAAUGUAAACAAUAACAAUUAACUCGUCUAUAUCUCCAAGGUCAAGGUCGCCACAACAAAAAAUAGAUUGAUUUUGAACAACUAUGUAACAAUGCACAUUUUGAUUUUGAGUUUUCUCUCUUUAUCAGACUUUUUUUUCAAUUUUUUUUUUAUAUCAAUCAUUUUUUUCAAUUAUAUUGAUCAAUAAAAAAAUAGAUUGAAAUAUUCUCCAAUUUUACUGUUGAACAGUUAUUGACAAAAAACUAUCGUGUCUACAUGUACACAUAUCAUAUCACAGAUAUACUUUGUUCAAGAAUUAAAGAGAUAGAGAAAAUGUACUUAAAACCAACUAUUUGCGAUACUUAUGAUAUUAAAUGCAGCUUGUAUUUGAGAAUAAAUUACACAAUUAAAAUGCAUUUUAGUUUUGCAUUGGUUGUAAAUAAAGAGUAGAAGCGUAGAGGAAUUGUUUACAAUAUAAAGAAGUGAAACUCCAGCUGCUGGAGCAGUAUUGAAUUUUCAUUAAAACAAUUAGUUGGUCCUUUAUUUAAGGCAAGUGACCGAUUGCCCAAACAGUACAAAACAGCACAAUACAGCACAAUACAAACCAACAUAAACACAAAAUAUGAAUAAAGCUGGGGUCACCGCCUUGGAACGGUCAAUGCAAAGCAUUGGGGGUUUAAACCUGGUUAUAGAGCGCUCAACCUCACACUUGGCCCAGCAAUAUUCAUAAUACAUUUAAGUGUAAAUAAAAUUUAACGUCAUAGCAUUGUAACUCAAAUUAAACAAUAAUAAAAGGGAAUUAAAACGCAUUCAAUUUAAUUACUAUUUAAUUACUCAAUUGCAUUGAAGAUACAAGAGUAACAGAAUUACAACUUUUUGACGAACGAUCAAAUAAAACUAUUAACAAUUGUCAACUACAUUCCUUCUUUAUAGAAAAGAUUUGAGAAUAUAGAAUCAUAUAGUUAAUAUCUCAGAUAAAAACAACACUUACAAAUGUGAAUAAUUAACAAAAAUUAACUCUUAAAGGAAGUAUGAAAUUUCAUUUUAAAUCAUAAAUACAGAUUGUAUACAAAAGUCAUGUAGGCCUACAUGGAUGAUAUGUGAAAUACAGUAUUAUGUGAAAGUCAGAAAUACCAUUAUUCUAAUUAAUUUUAUAUACAGACGUAGGUCAUGUAUGAUAUGUCAUGCAGUAUUACUUGAAAAUCAGAGUAUCAUUGUUCUUAAUAACUUUGAAUGGAAAAACAGUGAAAACGUAUUUUAAUAAUAGAGCACAGUCUGUACUACCGCCUGUCUGCUCAGCACUCGUCCUCUUUUAAAGAUUUUACACUAAAUAAUCGAACUAUAAAGCGCAAGUUAAGUAUGUACGCUUGUUUGUAUGAAGUACUUUUAUUAUUUGAACUACACCUUCCCAGAAUAGUUUAGUUCCUUUGGGUCUCAGGUGAGCGCCUUAGGGCCCAUGGUCCUCUUGUUUUUUACAUGUCUAUACCCUGUUAUUCAGGCAGGACCAUGCUUUAUGUUCAGUAUGUAUAUUACUUUUCCUCAAUGUAUUUUCCUAUUAUAUAAGAAAAAAAACUCUAGUUGCUCCAGCGUUUAUUUAGGACAGAAAUGUAACUUUUAAAGUACAUGCAAUUUCUAAUCAUAUACGUUAACAAAGUUCCAAAACUUGUGAUGUAUCUACUAUAUUUUAUUAACGUUUUCGUGAAUGUAAAAUUAUGUACCAUGAUUUCAGCUUAGAAUACAAGUAUUUGUCACAUGAAAAGGAGCCUGUACCAUGGGUAUGCCCUUAAAUCAGCAUUAAGUCCAAGUACCUGAAACCUUUUAUUUUUUUCGUCGGAUAAUUUAAGUUUAAUUAAUAUAAAUAACUAUAAGCACAUCCCCAUUUAAACAGAUGUGAAAUUUAAAAGCCAUCUGCCAAGUAAAACUAGUUUAAUAUCUUUUAAUGUUUAGUCAUAUUAAUACUGAAAUAACAUUGCAUAAAAUAAAAUCAUUUUCUUAAACAAAUGCUUUCUCUCAUAAUCACAUUUGUAAUUACAGAUGUUGGGAAAAAAAUUUGUCAACAAUCUAGUUUAUAAUUAGAUCUUAUUAUUCAUUCUUAGACAGAUAGCUUUAUUAUUAUGUAUUUGUAUAUACAUGUCCAGAAUUAGGUUGCAUUUUCCACAGUGUUCAAUGUUAUGUUUGGUUUAAUUCAUUCGGACUUGCUGGAAGAAAAAAAAGUAUAAAUAUAAAGUUUUC